rnacentral:rRNA from 1 species
GACGUAGGGCGCGAGCGUUGUCCGGAUUUAUUGGGCGUAAAGAGCUCGUAGGCGGCUUGUUGCGUCGUUCGUGAAAUCCCGUGGCUCAACUGCGGGCUUGCGGACGAUACGGGCAGGCUAGAAUUCGGUAGGGGAGACUGGAAUUCCUGGUGUAGCGGUGAAAUGCGCAGAUAUCAGGAGGAACACCGGUGGCGAAGGCGGGUCUCUGGGCCGAUAUUGACGCUGAGGAGCGAAAGCGUGGGGAGCGAACAGGAUUAGAAACCCCUGUAGUCC